UGCAAGUCGAGCGGUAGCACAAGGAGCUAUGCUCCUGGGUGACGAGCGGCGGACGGGUGAGUAAUGUCUGGGAAACUGCCCGAUGGAGGGGGAUAACUACUGGAAACGGUAGCUAAUACCGCAUAACGUCUUCGGACCAAAGUGGGGGACCUUCGGGCCUCACACCAUCGGAUGUGCCCAGAUGGGAUUAGCUAGUAGGUGAGGUAAUGGCUCACCUAGGCGACGAUCCCUAGCUGGUCUGAGAGGAUGACCAGCCACACUGGAACUGAGACACGGUCCAGACUCCUACGGGAGGCAGCAGUGGGGAAUAUUGCACAAUGGGCGCAAGCCUGAUGCAGCCAUGCCGCGUGUGUGAAGAAGGCCUUCGGGUUGUAAAGCACUUUCAGCGAGGAGGAAGGGUUCGGUGUUAAUAGCACCGUUCAUUGACGUUACUCGCAGAAGAAGCACCGGCUAACUCCGUGCCAGCAGC
rnacentral:rRNA from 1 species